rnacentral:lncRNA from 1 species
AGUCCUGAGGCUACAGGGUAGCUCCAGCAUCUUGUUCCUUUUUCCUCAUAGAAGAUUCUUUGGAGACUCCUGCAAAGAAGAUCUCUCUUUGCCUCCCCUAAUACUCCAGGAAUUCAGAGAUGCCAAGCAAGAUGGAUCAGAAGAUUAUGAAUCUACGGGUUUCAGCCUAACAUUGUGUACAAGCUGGAAUGAAUGUGGUUAUUUAAAAUGGAAAAAUAAGUAAUUGGUAAGUGAUGCUUAGCUUUAUUUCUCACUAAAUAAAUAAAUAGAUACCUGGAUAAAGAGAGAGACUAUUUGACAGAGGAAAGGUGAGGUUGAUUUAAAAAAAAAAAAAAGUCCCAGCAGUGAUACUUAUUAUACUCAUAACAAAUUUGCGUUCCCAACUUAGCUUCAUAGUCCUGAAACAUUUCUCCUUCCAAUGCUUUUUGGUUUUUCAUCUGCUACCAAACAACACGUUGCUAGAUAAUUAAAAAGUCACAACUGGGGCGUUUUCAAGGUGCUGUGUGUUAGUUGGAUGGCGUUUGGGGCCAGGUAGGAAGGUGGUUCAGUAGAAUUUCAGAUUACAUUUGUCUGUUGUACAAUGUUAAAAGGGAUUUUUUUUGAAAGCAGAGGUGUCUGCUGAGCCCAAAAAGAAUCAGAGGAGCCACAACAGCUGGAAGCUAUAAAUGCCUCAGUACUGGAACUCAUCUUUCAAUCAUUUCACUAACCAUACACAGAAUAUUCAGCAAAAGGAUGUUUGCCAUGGAACCAUGAUCUGUUUUCCAGCUCCGCAGUGUCUGACACCGAGCGAGAUCCUCUCGCUUUCAUACUGAGUGUGUCGGAUAGAGAUAAUUAAUUCUCCGUCUGUGAAAGUAAAUCAUUGUUUCCGCUCUCUUCCCAGCUUUAAUCAGGCUCCCACGGGCCUUCCACUGAGCAUGCGCACCAGACCACGCACAUGCUCCCUGUUAACGCUGUCAAAUGCCGUAUGCCAGAAAGCAAGCUACUUUAGAUUUUAGACUGGAUUUAAAAGACAAAACAGUGGGCUUCACUGAACAGUAAUGAGAUUCUACUAUCUCCUUGAUUUACAGACUAAACGUGACAGAUGUGGCUAGUCUGGUGUUGAUAAUACUACAAAAUACAAUAAGAUUCUAUUUUUAAAAUAGUGCCAGAUGAGAACCUUUCUUCCAUGUACAUAACUCACAAGUUCCUUAUUGGAGAAGAAACUCUGUUUUCUGAUUAUGCUGU